GUUGCUUAAUAUAUGCUUGUUGAUUUAUUAAUGAUUUAUUAAGAGAGGCGAAGUUAUGUGGCUAGGAAAUGUUCUGGAUGGGACUCAAACCCACAUCUCCUGAAUCUGGUCACUCCUUUUAAAAGAUGAGACAUGGCGUGGAGAGAUGGGAGGGAGACCGGUGUCCCAGACUCACCUCUGCUGCCCAUUCCCUACGGCAUCUUGGACCAGACCUGUGAUUUCAUUGCCAUAGGAAACUUUCAGGUUGGGAAGGUGGCAAUGAAGAAGAACUUCUCUCUGACAAUAAAGGAAAAGGACCAAAUAAGCAAACUGAUAUUGCCAAUGAUUACAGAGGAUUUGUUUACCCAAUGAAGAAAUGAAACUGUUUCCAAGCUCUUACAGUAUCCUUUGUUAUCAUUCAGUCAUUUUAGUCAUGAUCCUGCAUGGAGUUUCUUGGCAAGGUCUGCCAUUUUUUUUUCAGUGGAUUAAGCAAACAGAAAUUAAAUGACUUGAUCAAGGUCA